UCUCCAGCUCCUCUUCAUUUUUUAAAAAAUGUAUUCUUAAAUAGGUUUAAAUUGUAUGUGUGAAUAUUUUUUAUUGGAAACAGGAUUUUACUGUGUAGCUCUUGGAAUUAACUAUGCAGGCGAGGCUGAACUCAAACUGCCUCUGCUUCCUGAAUACUGAAAUUAUAAGCAUGCACACCACCACCCACAGCCCUAGUCACUUCUUAAAGUUAUAUUUUUACUGCUUUUACAUUAUAUGUGGCUGUGUAUUAUUUACGUUAUCUGGUAUGUGCCUAUGGGUGUAGGUGACUGAGUUCUGAAAAGGGUAACAGAUUCCUAAGAGGUGGAGUCACAGGCAGUUGGGAUCUGGCCAUUGUGGCUGCUAAUAACUAUCUCAGCUCUGUUGGAAGAACAACAAGAGUACUUAACACUGAGCCAUCUUCCCCAGACACCUUAGCUAGUUUUGUUGUUUUGUUAACUGAACACUGUAAGUAGGAAUAUUACUGAGACUCUGGAUUCUGUUCCCAUCUCUGAAAAGUGCCAAUUCUUGUUUCAGCAGCUUUCCAAUGAGCCUGCAUUUGUGUCUGGUGUGUGUGGAGUGCAGAAGAGGACACUGGAGCCUAUAGAACUGGAAUUGUGUGAACCAACAUCAUUACGUUUUCCAAGGCCAGACCCAAUUUGUUGGGAAUUCUCCAAAGUCCACCUCCUUGGAGCCACAGGACCAGCUGAGGAACAGAAGUUUCCAGUGUCAGCCAUCCUGGAAGUAACACCUUCCCUCACAAGUUUUAUUUGGUUAAGACAAGGUCUUACUCUAUGUCUGGAUGGCCUGAAACUAUAUAACCCAGUUGGCCUGGACCUUGAGUUUCCCUUACCUCAGCCUCCCAAAUGCUGGGACUACAGAGAUAUUACCUGAACUUCCAAUGCAGUUGUGCUGUGAUGUCUCCAUUGUGACUGCGUCUUGUUCUCUGCAAUUGACUAGUUGUGACUUUCUGUAAUGGUCUCCUGCUGCAAACAGAAGCUCCUUUUGAUGAUAGCUAAACUCAUCUGUGGGUGUAAGGGUAAGUAUU